UUAUCUCAAAUGUGUAUCGAGUUGGAACGUUUGCCUACGUUUGCCGCUAGGGGCGCUGCUCCAACUCCAUACAAAUUUGAGUUC
rfam:Bombyx mori DNA, contig: Bm_scaf12_contig9629, strain: p50T/Dazao, build 2, whole genome shotgun sequence.